UACGGGGGGGCAAGCGUUGUUCGGAAUUACUGGGCGUAAAGGGCUCGUAGGCGGCCAACUAAGUCAGACGUGAAAUCCCCCGGCUUAACCUGGGAACUGCGUCUGAUACUGGAAGGCUUGAGUAUGGGAGAGGGAUGUAGAAUUCCAGGUGUAGCGGUGAAAUGCGUAGAUAUCUGGAGGAACACCGGUGGCGAAGGCGGCUUGCUGGGCCUGAUCUGACGCUGAGGCGCGAAAGCGUGGGGAGCAAACAGG
rnacentral:rRNA from 1 species